UGAUGACGUAAGGAUUAGAGAUUCGACUACUUUCACUUAAGUUUCAUGUUACUGGAGUCGGAAACGGUGAAGAAGAAAAAGGCUGAGUGACCGUUAGGAGUGGUUUUAGAGUUAUACUGUCGCUAAAAAGAACAAUCCUCUGACACCAUACAAUCAGAUUGUGAUGAGGACAUUGCUGAUAUGCAGGACAUGAUGGUAUGAUGUCACCAGAUGUAGACCCAAAAGUUUUUGCAUUUCAUCAAGACACAAGACUAAUAUCUGCUACAAAGGACACAAAGUUAAGACAAGACCAUCCGAAUGCUGAGUCACAUACAGUUUCUUUACAGGAUAUUCACGUUUUUCACAGCAAAGAACACACCACCAUUGAAUUGUGAAUAUGUAAAACUGAGGCAGACCAUCUACUUACAAGACACUACUAAAUACGGUAUUGGCAGGAUUCUCAAGUCUACGUGGGCUCUGUAAAGAAUGAAAAGAACUAUUUAUCAAUAUUUUGCAAGAAAAACAUUUCUUUAGUAUCCGCAAAACCCCACACUGAGGUAUCAGCAGAGUUCUACUAACCUCCAAUCAAUUGUGGAUUUAACUUUGGAGUGUGAUGGGACAGAAUAUCUAUAAGAAUACCGGCGCGCCAUCGGCGGGGACACCCGCCGCACCGCUCUUCCCUCUAGCCACGCCAGCAUGUCUUCGCUGGCGCCAGCUCCUCUCUAAGGCGCCUCCUGGUUAUUUAAAGGCGCAGGCGCGCUGACGUAUGACGUCAUCGCGCAAAGGCGCGAAAUUCAAAUAUUAUUUAAAGCCCAGUCUGGCUGUUUGUAAUUGCCUGUGAUAGAACGUUCUAGUGGUUUUUCUGAGCCUUGUGCGUCUGUCUUGAAAAUUCUGAUCUGAUUAUCCGUGUUUGACCCUGCCUGUUCCUGACUACUCU